CCCAUGGGGCUCUGAGAUGGCGCUGCGGGUCCUGCUGGCUCUGGGGCUGCUGCUGGGGGGGGGCGCGGGGGGGGCUCGAGUUUCCUCCUCUCUGUCGGCUUCACACCGCGCUCGAGGCGCCGCCCCCGUUCAUCACUUCCAUCGAACCCGGCCCGGCGCCGCCCCCGUCAGCAUCAAUAGGGGGGGGGGCGGCCCCCGCGGCCACGGUGAGCUUCGGCCUCGCCUUCCUCAUCCUCGUCUUCAUCUUCCUCUUCAUCGUCGCCUUUGGCCUCGCGUUUGUUGUUGUUUUGGUCCUCGUUUUCAUCAUUUUCAUCCACAUCCUCGCUUUCGUCAUCAUCGUCAUCAUCAUCAUCCUCAGCUUCGGCCUCGCUUUCCUCCUCCUCCUCUUCCUCCUCCUCAUCCUCGUCUUCAUCUUCAUCUUCCUCCUCAUCGUCACCUUUGGCCUCGCGUUCGUCGUCGUUUUUGUCCUCAUUUUCAUCAUCUUCAUCCCCAUCCUCGCUUUCAUCAUCAUCAUUGUCAUCAUCAUCAUCCUCAGCAUCGUCCUCAUCUUCGGCCUCACCUUCAUCAUCAUUCUCAUCCUCAUCGUCCUCAUCCUCAUCAUCCUCAUCAUUUUCAUUCUCACUUUCAUCAUCAUCCUCAUCCUCAUCUUCAUCAUCAUCCUCAUCCUCAUCAUCCCUCAUCCUCCUUCUCAUCGUCAUCCUCAUCAUCCCUCAUCAUCCUCAUCAUCAUCAUCCUUAUCCUUAUCUUCAUCAUCCUCAUCAUCUUCCUCCUCACCACCAUCCUCAUCUUCAUCCCCAUCCUCCUCCUCCUCUUCUUCCCUUUUCUUUCUUUACUUCCUCCUCACCCUCUUCUUCUUCACCUUCCCUUCUUUCCUCUUCAUUUUCUUCUUCCUCCUCCUCUUCCUCUUCUUCCUCUUCCUCACCUUCCUCGUCCUCAUUUCCUCCCUCCUCCUUGUCCUCACCGUCCUCUUCCUCAUUUUCUUCCUCUUCUCCACUUUCCUCCUCUUCCUCACUCUCCUUUUCCUUCUCGUCCUCCUUUUCCUCAUUCUACUUCCUCCUCUUCCUCCUCACCUUCUUCCUCCUCUUCCUCGCCUUCAUAUUCGUUCUCCUUUUCUUCCUCCUCUUCCU
rnacentral:lncRNA from 1 species